GGAGCCUACGGGCCACAAGUGAGCGAGCCAGACGGCCGAGAAAAGCUUCUAAGUGAUGAACUCCGGGUGACCGUACCGCAAACCGACACAGGUAGACGGGUAGAGGAUACCAAGGCGAACGGGAGAACCCUCGUUAAGGAACUAGGCAAAAUGGCCCCGUAACUUCGGGAGAAGGGGCGCCCCCUGCUGGGGGGCCGCAGUGAAAGGGCUCUGCCGACUGUUUAACAAAAGCACAGGUCUCUGCAAACGCGUAAGCGGACGUAUAGGGGCUGACGCCUGCCCAGUGCCGGAAGGUUAAGGGGACGGGUUAGCGCAAGCGAAGCUCGGAACCGAAGCCCCGGUGAACGGCGGCCGUAACUAUAACGGUCCUAAGGUAGCGAAAUUCCUUGUCGGGUAAGGUCCGACCCGCACGAAUGGCGUAACGAGCGGAGCACUGUCUCAACGAGGGGCCCGGCGAAAUUGAAAUACGUGUGAAGAUGCGCGUUACCCGCAGCAGGACAAAAAGACCCCGUGGAGCUUUACUACAACUUGCUAUGGCGUUAGGGCUUGGCUUGUGCAGGAUAGCUGGGAGGCAGAGAAGCUGGGACGACAGUCUCGGUGGAGCCAAAGGUGAGAUACCAGCCUGGCGAAGUCUUGGCCCUAACCGUACACCGUGAACCGGGUACGGGACAGUGGCAGGCGGGUAGUUUGACUGGGGCGGUCGCCUCCGAAAGGGUAACGGAGGCGCCCAAAGGUGCCCUCAGGGUGAAUGGAAACCACCCAAAGAGUGUAAAGGCAGAAGGGCGCUUGACUGCGAGGCCUACGAGCCGAGCAGAGCCGAAAGGCGGGCUUAGUGAUCCCACGGUACCGAGUGGAAGGGCCGUGGCUUACCGGAUAUAAGCUACCCCGGGGAUAACAGGCUGGUCUGGUCCAAGAGUUCACAUCGACGACCAGGCUCGGCACCUCGAUGUCGGCUCAUCGCAUCCUGGGGCUGGAUCAGGUCCCAAGGGUUGGGCUGUUCGCCCAUUAAAGCGGUACGUGAGCUGGGUUCAGACCGUCGUGAGACAGGUCGGUCUCUAUCCGCUGUGGGCGCAAGGAGGUUGAGGGGAGCUGCCCCUAGUACGAGAGGACCGGGGUGGACGCAGCGCUGGUGUGCCGGUUGUCACGCCCGUGGCAUAGCCGGGUAGCUACCUGCGGAACAGAGAACCGCUGAAAGCAUCUAAGCGGGAAGCUGACCUCAAGAUGAGCCUCCUCACCGGGAAACCGGGUAAGACCGCUGGGAGACGACCAGCUAGAUAGGCCGGGCGUGGAAGCGUCGCAAGGCGCGCAGCGAACCGGUACUAAGGGUCGAGGGCUUAUCCUG
rnacentral:rRNA from 1 species